rnacentral:lncRNA from 1 species
CCGCACAUGAUGAGGAGCAUCACCGCCUUGGCCCAUGUUUUGGCCUCCUCUACCUCGCCUACCUCAUCCAGAUCCUAAGAAAGGGGCACAACAGAAAUCUGAUUUGAGGCGGUGCAAGAUCUUUACCUCGUGCAGAAAACCCUAGCCGCCAGUCGCCAUCUGCAACGGACGGGGCGGAGGCACCCGAGAGCGAGGUGGCGCGGGAUCCUCACCACGGCCUCACCUCAUGCAGCAAUGGCGUACGACGAGAGCCAAUUGGUAGGAAAAACGUCGC